rnacentral:rRNA from 1 species
CCUAUACAUGCAAGUCGAGCGGACAGAAGGGAGCUUGCUCCCGGAUGUUAGCGGCGGACGGGUGAGUAACACGUGGGUAACCUGCCUGUAAGACUGGGAUAACUCCGGGAACCGGAGCUAAUACCGGAUAGUUCCUUGAACCGCAUGGUUCAAGGAUGAAAGACGGUUUCGGCUGUCACUUACAGAUGGACCCGCGGCGCAUUAGCUAGUUGGUGAGGUAACGGCUCACCAAGGCGACGAUGCGUAGCCGACCUGAGAGGGUGAUCGGCCACACUGGGACUGAGACACGGCCCAGACUCCUACGGGAGGCAGCAGUAGGGAAUCUUCCGCAAUGGACGAAAGUCUGACGGAGCAACGCCGCGUGAGUGAUGAAGGUUUUCGGAUCGUAAAGCUCUGUUGUUAGGGAAGAACAAGUGCAAGAGUAACUGCUUGCACCUUGACGGUACCUAACCAGAAAGCCACGGCUAACUACGUGCCAGCAGCCGCGGUAAUACGUAGGUGGCAAGCGUUGUCCGGAAUUAUUGGGCGUAAAGGGCUCGCAGGCGGUUUCUUAAGUCUGAUGUGAAAGCCCCCGGCUCAACCGGGGAGGGUCAUUGGAAACUGGGAAACU